UUACGUCUGUCAAUUUCCUUAUUUUCUAUUCAAAUCCAUGAUAUUGUAGCUUUUUCGAUAUACAUUUCAAAUGUAUGAUUAUCAGCUUGGUAUUAAUUUAUUCCGAAAGCUAUACAUCCUAAUCAAUAGAAUAUUCAAGAGGCUAUGAAAUGAAACAAAAUACAUCAUAGACGCCCAAUAUUCAUCAACAUUCAAGGUUUCAUGGGCAAACUUCCCAACUUCACCUGAAAAUGAGUAAGGCAGAAGAAUUGGAAUGAAAUCCCUUGAGACUAGCCUUGUGAAACAUCAUCUACUGAAGUUUCCCAAAGUUGAGAAGAUGCAAAAUAAAAUGUUAGCAAUUACCUUUAUUGGCCUCUCGAAGCCUCGUUUUGCCAAAGCGCAUAAUUGUUUCUUGGCACCUAAUUUAGGAGCGCUUUUGUAAUUGAAAAUAAAUUAAACAACCGAAUCUAA